rnacentral:rRNA from 1 species
GUGCCAGCCGCCGCGGUAAGACGAACCGUGCGAACGUUAUUCGGAAUUACUGGGCUUAAAGCGCGUGUAGGCGGGCCCGCGCGUCGAGUGCUGAAAGCCCCCGGCUCAACCGGGGAAGUGGCCUCGAAACGGCGGGCCUGGAGGGGGGUAGGGGGAGCCGGAACUCACGGUGGAGCGGUGAAAUGCGUUGAGAUCGUGAGGAACGCCCGUGGCGAAAGCGGGCUCCUGGACCUCGCCUGACGCUGAGACGCGAAAGCCAGGGGAGCGAACGGGAUUAGAAACCCUCGUAGUCC